GUAUGUGAGGGCAAUCUCACUGUGACAUCUGUCACCCCAUUGAUUGCCAGGGUGUAUGUGGCUGAUUUGGCUGGCAAGUCAGGUGUCCCCUUCCUCACCAUUUCAUGUGCCUUCCAUGAAUGGAGAUGUUCCAGUGCUCAGUCAAGGGUAUAAGAGUAGCUACACUCCUCUACUUGAACCACCAAACAAGCUCUUGAGAAACACACCUGUUAUGUAUAUGGCGUUUGUAACUUUAUGCAUUUAGUUAGUAUAUGUGGUAACUGAAAU
rnacentral:snRNA from 1 species